rnacentral:rRNA from 1 species
GAGUUUGAUCCUGGCUCAGAAUGAACGCUGGCGGCGUGCUUAACACAUGCAAGUCGAGCGAUGAAGUUUCCUUCGGGAAACGGAUUAGCGGCGGACGGGUGAGUAACACGUGGGUAACCUGCCUCAUAGAGUGGAAUAGCCUUCCGAAAGGAAGAUUAAUACCGCAUAAUGUUGAAAGAUGGCAUCAUCAUUCAACCAAAGGAGCAAUCCGCUAUGAGAUGGACCCGCGGCGCAUUAGCUAGUUGGUGGGGUAACGGCCUACCAAGGCGACGAUGCGUAGCCGACCUGAGAGGGUGAUCGGCCACAUUGGGACUGAGACACGGCCCAGACUCCUACGGGAGGCAGCAGUGGGGAAUAUUGCACAAUGGGGGAAACCCUGAUGCAGCAACGCCGCGUGAGUGAUGAAGGUUUUCGGAUCGUAAAGCUCUGUCUUUGGGGAAGAUAAUGGCGGUACCCAAGGAGGAAGCCACGGCUAACUACGUGCCAGCAGCCGCGGUAAUACGUAGGUGGCGAGCGUUAUCCGGAUUUACUGGGCGUAAAGGGAGCGUAGGCGAAUGAUUAAGUGGGAUGUGAAAUACCCGGGCUCAACUUGGGUGCUGCAUUCCAAACUGGUUAUCUAGAGUGCAGGAGAGGAGAGUGGAAUUCCUAGUGUAGCGGUGAAAUGCGUAGA